GAUGAAGAACGUAGCGAAAUGCGAUAAGUAAUGUGAAUUGCAGAAUUCAGUGAAUCAUCGAAUCUUUGAACGCACAUUGCGCCCUCUGGUAUUCCGGGGGGCAUGCCUGUUCGAACGUCAUUACAACCCUCAAGCUUUGCUUGGUAUUGGACAUUGCCAGUUUCUGGCAGGUCUUAAAAUCAGUGGCGGUGCCAUUUGGCUUCAAGCGUAGUAAUUCUUCUCGCUUUGGAGAUCCAGGUGGUUACUUGCCAAUAACCCCCAAUUUUUUCAGGUUGACCUCGGAUCAGGUAGGGAUACCCGCUGAACUUAAGCAUAUCAAUAAGCGGAGGA
rnacentral:misc_RNA from 1 species